rnacentral:rRNA from 1 species
AUGCAUGUCUCAGUACAUACCAAUCUUUAAGGUGAAACCGCGAAUGGCUCAUUAAAUCAGUUAUGGUUCAUUAGAUCUUAACCAAGUUACUUGGAUAACUGUGGUAAUUCUAGAGCUAAUACAUGCAACCAAGCUCCGACCGCAAGGGAAGGGCGCUUUUAUUAGAUCAAAACCAAUCGGUCUUCGGGCCGCCAUGUCGUGUUGACUCUGAAUAACUUUGUUCUGAGCGUACGGUCUUCGAACCGACGCCGCAUCUUUCAAGUGUCUGCCUUAUCAGCUUUCGAUUGUAGGCUAUGCGCCUACAAUGGCUAUAACGGGUAACGGGGAAUCAGGGUUCGAUUCCGGAGAGGGAGCCUGAGAAACGGCUACCACAUCUAAGGAAGGCAGCAGGCACGCAAAUUACCCACUCCCAGCUCGGGGAGGUAGUGACGAAAAAUAACGAUGCGGGACUCUUCCGAGGCUUCGCAAUCGGAAUGAGCUCAACCUAAAUCCUUGUACGAGGAUCCAUUGGAGGGCAAGUCUGGUGCCAGCAGCCGCGGUAAUUCCAGCUCCAAUAGCGUAUAUUAAAGUUGUUGCGGUUAAAAAGCUCGUAGUUGGAUCUCAGUUCUGGACCGGUGGUUCGCCUUUGGUGAAUACUGUUGGUCCGAGCAGCUCGCUGGUUUCUUGAGAAUGCUCUUAAUCAGGUGUCUCUUGGGGCCAGCACGUUUACUUUG